rnacentral:tRNA from 1 species
UCUCCUUGCGGCGCGGCUGCCGGAGUAUCACCUUGCGGUGCAGGUGCAGGUGCAGGUGCAGGUGCAGGUGCAGGUG